rnacentral:tRNA from 2 species
AUUUCUUUAGUUUAAUUUUAAAAUAUAACUCUGAAGAAGUUAAGAUAAUUAGAAAUG